UACGGAGGAUGCGAGCGUUAUCCGGAUUUAUUGGGUUUAAAGGGUGCGUAGGCGGUCCGUUAAGUCAGCGGUAAAAAUGCGGUGCUCAACCCCGUCGUGCCGUUGAAACUGACACCCUUGAGUGAGUGAGAAGUAAGCGGAAUGCGUGGUGUAGCGGUGAAAUGCAUAGAUAUCGCGCAGAACCCCGAUUGCGAAGGCAGCCUGCCGGCCCCACACUGACGCUGAGGCACGAAAGCGUGGGGAUCGAACAGG
rnacentral:rRNA from 1 species